AAAAGAACUUUGAAGAGAGAGUUCAAAAGGGCGUGAAACCGCUUAGAAUAAAACGGACGGAGCCGUCGGUGGCCCGCCGGACUCAGUCGAGAGACGCGGCGCGUCGGAUUCGAUUCGGAACGUCAGCGUCCGUUCGAGUUCGGUCGUCGUCGCUCGUUCGAUGCAUUUCCGGAGGGUAUGCGCCGCGACCGAUGCGAACGGCUGGUGAAAUCGUCGAAUUGAGGUCGACUACGAUUCGCGUCGCAGUCGUUUCCAGUUCGUCGGUCUGAAUCGCCAGACUGUGAGGCAUCGAGCGCGAAGAAAUAAGGAAACGCCGGCGAAACAAACACGCGCUCGAUUCGUCGGUGGAAAGUCGACGAGCGUCCGGACGCCUGCUCGCAGGCGGUCGGUUCGUUCUCGUUCGGCGCUAGAAACCGCGAUCGACCGUAUACGGCGUUUCGGCGUCAGCGGCGUCCGAGACGGUCAACCGUCCGACCCGUCUUGAAACACGGACCAAGGAGUCUAACGUACGCGCGAGCUAAUGGGCGGAAAACCCAUAAGCGCAAUGAAAGUGAAAGCCGUUUCGGACGGCGUAGGGUACGAUCCCGUGGCUCCGUUUCAUCGGACCGCGGGCGCAGUACCGUCCCGUCCCGAUCGCUUCGUCGAUAGGGCGGAGACUGAGUGCAUACGUUGGGACCCGAAAGAUGGUGAACUAUGCCUGAGCAGAGCGAAGCCAGAGGAAACUCUGGUGGAGGUUCGUAGCGGUUCUGACGUGCAAAUCGAUCGUCAGACUUGGGUAUAGGGGCGAAAGACUAAUCGAACCAUCUAGAGUUGUU
rnacentral:rRNA from 1 species